rnacentral:rRNA from 1 species
UACGGGGGGAGCAAGCGUUGUUCGGAUUUACUGGGCGUAAAGGGCGGGUAGGCGGCCACCGCAAGUCGACUGUGAAAUCUCCGGGCUUAGCCCGGAAAGGUCAGCCGAUACUGCGGGGCUAGAGUGCAGAAGGGGCAACUGGAAUUCUCGGUGUAGCGGUGAAAUGCGUAGAUAUCGAGAGGAACACCUGCGGCGAAGGCGGGUUGCUGGGCUGACACUGACGCUGAGGCGCGAAAGCUAGGGGAGCGAACGGG